UGCCCUCUUUGAUAAAACACAGAACGCGACUUCUUAAAAUCGCGCUUUUUGAAAAAAUCACUUAAUGAAAAAAUUAAAAUAAAACACACGCCUAAAAUCCUCCCUGUUAACCCAUAAUCCCCAAAAUGGCGAGGAAUCCUAAAAUCCCAAAGUAAUGGAUGCUGCUUUCUCUCUCCUGAUUCUCCGGCUCUUAUUAAUAAAAAAUUGGUCGACUUUUCUCAGUUUCUUCGUUCCUGAGUUCGUUAGCUUGAAGAUUUGUUCGAAAAAUAUCCGAUUUCUAUCAAAUACUGACCUUCUGGUUAAUUAUUUAGGGUUUUGGACUGAGAAUCUACGGACUCUUACAAUCUGAGGUCUGUGUUGGAGUUACUCGUUCCUUUUAGAUCAACCUUCAAUUUCAGGCCUAUAACGAGUGAUUUUACUUGGGUCAAGGUAAGACCUGAGAUUGAUGGUAGAAGAGUAGCUCUACACUACCCAGCUGUUCUUGACAAUGUCAUCUAUAACAUCGCUGUUAUCGAUGGUGUCGAUACUUCUGUUGACGCUCAAGAUAAUCAAGAUACUGAAUCUGAGAUUCCCAGUCAGUGGACUGUUGUGACUAUAGAAGUGGAUGCUACGAACUCCAUCACCAUCAAGAACUUGGAAUUAGAAUGGCCAGAUCUAUCGAAUGGAUUAGUCGACACAUGAAUCUGAUUGAAUCUUGUGGUAAGGUAUAUUGUGUAGGAAGAUUCAUAAGAUAUGGUCGCAACCUUUGCUAUAACUUUAUAAAAGUUUGGGAGUUGGAUAUCAAGGUAAGGAAUUGGGUGGAAGUUAACUCCUUAGAUGAUCGAGCAUUUUUUGUCAUGGAAGGUAAGUGUUGUAAGACCUGGUGCUGGGGCUCAACUAGUGCAGGAGACAGCAACGGUGUCCCUGGGAAUUCUGUUAACUAUGUCAUGGAACUCGACGAUACUCGAGUCAUGUACUCUUACAGCCUACAUGACAAAUGUUUGACACUCCUUCCCCCCGUUUGUUCGACCUUGAUCAAACCUUAUAAUUCAGUUGUAUGCAUGAUUAGGAAUCACUUCUUUGAAUGUUUUUUUGUUGUUGUUUUGUUUUUGACAGUUGGCAGCAAGGUUAAUUGGAUUCCGACUCGGGUUCGACAGUGCGGGGGCAACGCAAGAGCAUCAUCGGUCUUUGUAUGUUACUGUUUGAGUUACCUAUUGAAAUUUAAAAGCAUGAUUUCACACACUGAUCUCAUGUAGCCUCUUUGUGUAAUUUGCCUGACAUUCUUGUCAUCGUAUCUUUUAAAUGUACACACAGAAACCAGAAGGUGCAUUUCAUUUUUAGAGAUAUGUAGCACUAA